UUUAGGCACCUCGUGUGUCGUAUCAGGCACCUCGUGUGUCGUUUUAGACACUUUAUGUGUCGUAUACUGAUCAGGUACUAUGUACGUUUUAGGCACAAUGUGCCGUACUGGUGUGUUUGGGUUUGAAUCCGUGUAUCCGUCAAAGUCUGGGUUUGUUAAUAGGGGUAAAUAAGUGAAAGAUAAAUCGAAUAAAUUUGAUUGAUUAAGCUAUUGAAAUGAAACGAGAAAUUGAAUUGAGAAUUGAGAAUUGAAAAUUU
rnacentral:lncRNA from 1 species